GAGUUUGAUCCUGGCUCAGAUUGAACGCUGGCGGCAGGCCUAACACAUGCAAGUCGAGCGGAAACGAGUUAACUGAACCUUCGGGGAACGUUAACGGCGUCGAGCGGCGGACGGGUGAGUAAUGCCUGGGAAAUUGCCCUGAUGUGGGGGAUAACCAUUGGAAACGAUGGCUAAUACCGCAUAAUAGCUUCGGCUCAAAGAGGGGGACCUUCGGGCCUCUCGCGUCAGGAUAUGCCCAGGUGGGAUUAGCUAGUUGGUGAGGUAAUGGCUCACCAAGGCGACGAUCCCUAGCUGGUCUGAGAGGAUGAUCAGCCACACUGGAACUGAGACACGGUCCAGACUCCUACGGGAGGCAGCAGUGGGGAAUAUUGCACAAUGGGCGCAAGCCUGAUGCAGCCAUGCCGCGUGUAUGAAAAAGGCCUUCGGGUUGUAAAGUACUUUCAGCAGUGAGGAAGGUGGGUAUGUUAAUANCAUACUCAUUUGACGUUGGCUGCAAAAGAAGCGCCGGAUAAUUCCUUUGCCAGCAGCCAAAGGAAAUCNNUAAGGUGCUAAUCCUUAAACAAAAUAAUU
rnacentral:rRNA from 1 species